rnacentral:rRNA from 1 species
UACGUAGGGUCCGAGCGUUGUCCGGAAUUAUUGGGCGUAAAGGGCUCGUAGGCGGUCUGUUGCGUCGGGAGUGAAAACUUACAGCUUAACUGUGAGCGUGCUUCCGAUACGGGCAGACUGAGGUAUUCAGGGGAGAACGGAAUUCCUGGUGUAGCGGUGAAAUGACGCAGAUAUACAGGAGGACACCGGUGGGCGAAGGCGGUUCUCUGGGCAUGUCCUGACGCUGGAGGAGCGAAAGUGUGGGGACGCGAACAGG